AUUGAACGCUGGCGGCAGGCCUAACACAUGCAAGUCGAACGAGUGGCGGACGGGUGAGUAAUGUCUGGGAAACUGCCUGAUGGAGGGGGAUAACUACUGGAAACGGUAUCUAAUACCGCAUACUAUCAGAUGUGCCCAGAUGGGAUUAGCUAGUUGGUGGGGUAACGUCUCCCCCAGGCGACGAUCCCUAGCUGGUCUGAGAGGAGGACCAGCCACAAGGGAACUGAGACACGGUACAGACGCCUACGGGAGGAAGCAGUGGGGAAUAUUGCACAAUGGGCGCAAGCAUGAGGCAGCCAUGCCGCGUGUAUGAAGAAGGCCUUCGGGUUGUAAAGUACUUUCAGCGGGGAGGCGUUACCCGCAGAAGAAGCACCGGCUAACUCCGUGCCAGCAGCCGCGGUAAUUC
rnacentral:rRNA from 1 species